UUAAAAGACCUAGCAAUAGGUAUGCUUAGGGAAGAGCUUGCGUCACAUUAGUUAGUUGGUGGGGUAAUGGCCUACCAAGACGAUGAUGUGUAGCCGGGCUGAGAGGUCGAACGGCCACAUUGGGACUGAGACACGGCCCAAACUCCUACGGGAGGCAGCAGUAAGGAAUUUUCGGCAAUGGAGGAAACUCUGACCGAGCAAUGCCGCGUGAACGAUGAAGUAUUUUGGUACGUAAAGUUCUUUUAUUAGGGAAGAAAAGAUGGUGGAAAAACCAUUAUGACGGUACCUAAUGAAUAAGCCCCGGCUAACUAUGUGCCAGCAGCCGCGGUAAUACAUAGGGGGCAAGCGUUAUCCGGAAUUAUUGGGCGUAAAGGGUGCGUAGCGGUUAAAAAAGUUUAUGGUCUAAGUGCAACGCUCAACGUUGUGAUGCUAUAAAACUGUUUAGCUAGAGUUGUAUAGAGGGCAAGUGGAAUUCCGUGUGUAGUGGUAAAAAUGCGUAAAUAUACGGAGGAACACCAGAAGCGAAGGCGGCUUGCUGGGUCUUAACUGACGCUGAGGCACGAAAGCGUGGGGAGCAAACAGGAUUAGAUACCCUGGUAGUCCACGCCCUAAACGAUGAGUACUAAACGUUGGAUAAAACCAGUGUUGAAGUUAACACAUUAAGUACUCCGCCUGAGUAGUACGUACGCAAGUAUGAAACUUAAAGGAAUUGACGGGACUCCGCACAAGCGGUGGAUCAUGUUGUUUAAUUCGAAGGUACCCGAAAAACCUCACCAGGUCUUGACAUGCUUUUGCAAAGCUGUAGAAAUACAGUGGAGGUUAUCAGAAGCACAGGUGGUGCAUGGUUGUCGUCAGCUCGUGUCGUGAGAUGUUGGGUUAAGUCCCGCAACGAGCGCAACCCUUGUUGUUAAUUGCCAUCAUUAAGUUGGGGACUUUAGCAAGACUGCCAAUGAUAAAUUGGAGGAAGGUGGGGACGACGUCAAAUCAUCAUGCCCCUUAUGACCUGGGCUACAAACGUGAUACAAUGGCUGUUACAAAGGGUAGCUAAAGCGUAAGCUUCUGGCGAAUCUCAAAAAAACAGUCUCAGUUCGGAUUG
rnacentral:rRNA from 1 species